rnacentral:rRNA from 1 species
UACGUAGGGGGCAAGCGUUGUCCGGAUUUACUGGGUGUAAAGGGUGCUCAGGUGGCUGUGUAAGUCAGAGGUGAAAUUUCAGGGCUUAACUCUGAAACUGCCUUUGAUACUAUACAGCUUGUGUACGGAAGAGGGUGAUGGAAUUCCUGGUGUAGCAGUGAAAUGCGUAGAUAUCAGGAAGAACACCAGUGGCGAAGGCGGUCACCUGGUCCGUUACAGACACUAAAGCACGAAAGCGUGGGGAG